rnacentral:lncRNA from 1 species
UUUGUUAAUUCAUUCUCUGAAUCCAUUUUGUGUAUUUGAUGCAAUGGUGGAUGCCUUUCUCCGAUCGAAACUUAGACCUUGAAAAUCCUAGAAGUAGCUACUGCCCAAGAACCUUAGAAGCCUAGUUGGAAAUAGAGGUAAGGGAAGCUUAUAAGAUUUAAUUAUAAUUUCUUUGUAUGGUUGGAUGCAUGAUUUAAUGUAUGUUUAUUGAUUAAUUAGUAUGUGGAAUAUUGUAUGUUGUUGCAUCCAUCAAUCAUAGGAGCCUUGAUCUCCAAUUUCUCAAAGAUCUCCUUGAAAAACUUAACCCUAUUUUCCUUCCUAGGGUGUUUCCUUUUAUGAGGAAAGGAUUCUUUACAUGACUUUUUUUUCUUUCCUAUCUUCCUCUUUCUCUUAAUUUUCUCCUUCCUUAACCUUCUCUUUUUCUUUAUUUUCAUUUUUUUCUUUUUUUCUCUUUAUUUUUCUCAACCAUGGCUUUUCCUUCCUCAUCUUUCUUCUCACUCUCAUUCAAAUUUUUUAUUUCUAUCUCCUCUAUAUUUUUCUCAACAACUUCUUCUGUUUUUGUUUCCUCUUCCAACAUCUCUCGCUCUUCUUCUUCUUUCUUUUCCUCCUUGAGAACCUUAUCAUGUGCAAAGAUAGUGGCUUGACAUUCUUCUUUAGGGUUGACUUUGGUAUCAACCUUGAUAAUGCCCAAAGCCUUCAGGGCAUGAGAGUGUUGUUCCUGCACUAAACGUGCUUGUACUUCUCCCAAUGUUUCUUUGCGUACAGGAGAUUGUUUUUAUUGUAAACGCUGUUGGACUUCCCUCAACGUUUCUUUUGGUACAGAGAAUAGUUCCUGCCGUAACCGUUCUUUAGCUUCCCCUAACGUUUCUUUUCGCGGGACUGAUGCCCUAAGUAGUUUCGAUAUAUAUUUGAAUAAGGGUCCCACCAGUGGUUGAAACUAUUUUGGUAGAAUUGAGUGCCUACAGAAUCAAAUUCUUGUCCAAACUACAUUAUGCAAAAAUUAGGCACAAAACCCUAGAAAACAUUUAUUAGAACAAAAAUAAAAAAUAAACAUAAAAUCAAGUCAAAUUCAAUUAAUCCACACUACUAGAAAAAUAAACCUCGAGUCCCUGGUAACGGCGUCAAAAACUUGUUGACAAAUUGGCAAAUGUACCAAAUCGUACAAGUAAUAUAAAUGGUAAGACCAAGUAUCGUUUUCCCAAGAGACUCGUAUGGCUUCCUCGUUCGCGUGAAUUAAAAUAAUGAGACUUGAGAAAUAAAAAUUAAUAAAUUGGAUUUGAGAACAAAAAUAUUAACAUGCAGAAAUAAAGUUGAUUCAAUUGACAAACGAAAACAAUGGAUGAAUGGAUGUUGUUGGGUACUAACAAUUUCAUCUAUUCCACUNUCUCUUACAUACUACCCUUGAAUAUUAGUUGAUUGAUUCAAUUGUUAUGCGACUUUCUUAGCCUCCCCUCAACCCGAUCCCUCGGCAAAAAGGGCCUAAUAUUAACUACUGGCUUACUAACCCUAGCCUCCCCUAGUAAUUAAUACCACAUUAUAAACAGAAGUUAGCGCAAUUAAUCGUCCUACCCCUAUC